rnacentral:rRNA from 1 species
AUUGAACGCUAGCGGCAUGCCUUACACAUGCAAGUCGAACGGCAGCACGGGUGCUUGCACCUGGUGGCGAGUGGCGAACGGGUGAGUAAUACAUCGGAACGUACCUUAUCGUGGGGGAUAACGCAGCGAAAGUUGCGCUAAUACCGCAUACGCCCUGAGUGGGAAAGCGGGGGUCCGUAAGGCCCCGCGCGAUUUGAGCCGGCGAUGUCUGAUUAGGUUGUUGGUGAGGUAAAAGCUCACCAAGGCGAUGAUCAGUAGCGGGUCUGAGAGGACGAUCAGCCACACUGGGACUGAGAGAAGGCCCAGACUCCUACGGGAGGCAGCAGUGGGGAAUUUUGGACAAUGGGGGCAACCAUGAUCCAGCAAUGCCGCGUGAGUGAAGAAGGCCUUCAGGUUGUAAAGCUCUUUUGUCAGGGAAGAAACAGCAGCUCUAACACAGUCUGCGAAUGACGGUACCUGAAGAAUAAGCACCGGCUAACUACGUGCCAGCAGCCGCGGUAA